rnacentral:tRNA from 1 species
GGGCUAUUGGCGCAGUCAGGUAGCGCAACAGGCUUUUAACCUGAAAUUCGCUGGAACUUACCCAGCGUUCAGGACGGUCGGGGGUUCAACUCCCCCAUAGCCCGCCA